rnacentral:misc_RNA from 1 species
GGCAGAUUCGGAUAAUAUUCAAAUGAAAGGUAUCACUGUCUUCAUAGCUCCUUUAUGAUAAGCCAGAAUACCAGCAUCAGUUUUUAGCUUGUCAGUAGAUUCAUGCUUCCCCUACGCGAUAAAUAUGUCAUAACACAAUUAGCAUUGUCUUCAAAGCCCUCCAUAGACAGGUAAACAGUGAGAUUCUGUUCUAUAAGAACCAUUAAAGAAACAGUUUGACAGCUCCUUGGCUUCACAAAUGUCAUGGUUCAUGGAAUAUAUAAUCCAGCUUCCAACUCAGUGCACAUAGAUGAAUAUCAAUGAAGAACUUUAUUCUCCUGUUUCUUGUUCACUCAUGUCUAC